rnacentral:rRNA from 1 species
GAUGAACGCUGGCGGCGUGCCUAAUACAUGCAAGUCGAGCGAACGGACGAGAAGCUUGCUUCUCUGACGUUAGCGGCGGACGGGUGAGUAACACGUGGAUAACCUACCUAUAAGACUGGGAUAACUUCGGGAAACCGGAGCUAAUACCGGAUGAUAUUUUGAACCGCAUGGUUCAAAAGUGAAAGACGGUCUUGCUGUCACUUAUAGAUGGAUCCGCGCUGCAUUAGCUAGUUGGUAAGGUAACGGCUUACCAAGGCAACGAUGCAUAGCCGACCUGAGAGGGUGAUCGGCCACACGGGAACGGAGACACGGUCCAGACUCCUACGGGAGGCAGCAGUAGGGAAUCUUCCGCAGUGGGCGAAAGCCUGACGGAGCAACGCCGCGUGAGUGAUGAAGGUCUUCGGAUCGUAAAACUCUGUUAUUAGGGAAGAACAUAUGUGUAAGUAACUGUGCACAUCUUGACGGUACCUAAUCAGAAAGCCACGGCUAACUACGUG